AACGAACGCUGGCGGCAGGCCUAACACAUGCAAGUCGAACGCCGUAGCAAUACGGAGUGGCAGACGGGUGAGUAACGCGUGGGAACGUGCCCUUCGGUUCGGAAUAAUCCAGGGAAACUUGGACUAAUACCGGAUACGUGCGAGAGCAGAAAGAUUUAUCGCCGAAGGAUCGGCCCGCGUCCGAUUAGCUAGUUGGUGAGGUAACGGCUC
rnacentral:rRNA from 1 species